CCUACGGGGGGCUGCAGUCGAGAAUCAUUCACAAUGGGGGAAACCCUGAUGGUGCGACGCCGCGUGGGGGAAUGAAGGUCUUCGGAUUGUAAACCCCUGUCAUGUGGGAGCAAAUUAAAAAGAUAGUACCACAAGAGGAAGAGACGGCUAACUCUGUGCCAGCAGCCGCGGUAAUACAGGGGUGUCAAGCGUUGUUCGGAAGCACUGGGCGUAAGGCGUGCGUAGGCUGUUUCGUAAGUCGGGUGUGAAAGGCGCGGGCUCAACCCGCGGACGGCACAUGAUACUGCGAGACUAGAGUAAUGGAGGGGGAACCGGAAUUCUCGGUGUAGCAGUGAAAUGCGUAGAUAUCGAGAGGAACACUCGUGGCGAAGGCGGGUUCCUGGACAUUAACUGACGCUGAGGCACGAAGGCCAGGGGAGCGAAAGGGAUUAGAUACCCCAGUAGUC
rnacentral:rRNA from 1 species